GUUAUGGACAACUUUUGUAAAAGGGGUUAGCAUGAAAACACCUAAAAGAACUAUAUUGCAUAAGUUGUAAAAUAGAUGUUAAGUAUGUGAAAUAGUGGGAAUUUGGAGUUUCUAUGAGAGUCAAAUGGUAAAAAUCGAUAAAAAUUGAUUUUCAGGCCUAGUGGUAAAAUGGUCAUUUUGUCGAAGUCUAGGGGCAAAAUGAUCAUUUUACCAAAGAUGUGGUUUUUCGAUUGCU
rnacentral:lncRNA from 1 species